AUUUUCCUUGCUCCUGCUUAACUUGGAGGAGUACUACUUUGAACAGCACACGGCUCAUCACAUUCAACACAAGGGCAGCCAGAAGGAAAGGAAAAUCAGAGGCUCCUUAAAAAUAUGUUCAAAAUCAGUUAUUUUUGAACCAGAUGCAAUAUCCCAACCCAUCAUUAAGAUUCCUUUGAGGGAUUGUAUAAAAAUAGGAAAACAUGGAGAAAAUGAAGCCAAUAGACACUUUGCAAAGUAUGUCACUGUCACGGCUGUUUGACUUUACUUCUACAAAAAACUGUAUGUAUAUGUGUAUGUAUAUAUAUAUAUAUAUAUUUAAUGACUUUUAUCUGCAUUUUUAGGACAGUAUCUGGGGCGAUUUCACUCAUUUUCAGCCAGGUGUAUUUCAUUAAGGAACACAACAUUGUUGCACCGUAUAAAAUAGAAAGGGGCAUGAUGGAGUAUGUCUUCGAGCUGGAUGUUUCAGGGAAAGUAGAAGAUGUUGUGGAGACACUGCUUCAGCUUCAUAGAGCAUCCUGUCUGGACAAACUGGGGGACCAAACUGCCAUGAUAACAGCUAUCUUGCAGUCCCGUUUGGCUAGGACGUCCUUUGACAAAAACAGAUUCCAAAGUGUUUCUGAAAAGCUGCACAUGGAAUGCAAAGCAGAAAUGGUGACACCUCUGGUGACGAACCCUGGCCACGCCUGCGUCACUGACACCACCCUGUAUUUCCAGCCUCUCAACGGGUACCCGAAACCCGUGGUCCAGAUAAUGCUCCAGGACAUCCGCCGCAUUUACAAGAGGAGACACGGCCUCAUGCCUCUGGGCUUGGAAGUGUUUUGCACAGAAGAUGACCUGUGUUCCGACAUCUACCUGAAGUUCUAUGAACGUCAGGACCGAGACGACCUCUAUUUUUACAUCGCUACAUAUCUAGAGCACCACGUGCCUGAGCGCACGGCCGAGGGCUACACGCUGCAGUGGCAGCGCGGCCUCCUGUCCAACUACCAGUACCUGCUGCACCUCAACUCGCUGGCCGACCGCAGCUGCAGCGACCUCUCACAGUACCCCGUGUUCCCCUGGGUCAUCAGCGACUACAGCAGCUCCAAGCUGGAUCUGUCAAAUCCAGAGACCUUCCGGGAUCUCAGUAAGCCAGUAGGGGCCCUCAACCAGGAGCGUCUGGAGAGGCUGCUGACCCGCUACCAGGAGAUGCCGGAGCCCAGGUUCAUGUACGGCAGCCACUACUCCUCCCCAGGCUACGUGCUCUUCUACCUGGUCCGGAUCGCACCGGAGUACAUGCUGUGCCUGCAGAAUGGAAGGUUCGACAACGCAGACAGAAUGUUCAACAGUAUUGCAGAAACUUGGAAAAACUGUUUGGAUGGUGCAACAGAUUUUAAAGAGCUGAUCCCGGAAUUCUACGGUGAUGACGUCAGCUUUUUAGUCAACAGUCUGAAGUUGGAUUUGGGGAAGAGACAAGGAGGGCAGCUGGUUAACGACGUAGAGCUCCCUCCUUGGGCACGGAGUCCCGAGGACUUUCUCCAGAAGAGCAGAGCCGCGCUGGAGAGUGAGCAUGUGUCCGAGCACCUGCACGAGUGGAUCGACCUGGUGUUUGGCUACAAGCAGCAGGGCCGGGAUGCCGUCGGAGCCCAUAAUGUGUUUCAUCCGCUGACCUAUGAAGGAGGUGUGGACUUGAACAGCAUCGAGGAUCCUGACGAGAAGGUCGCCAUGCUCACCCAGAUCUUAGAGUUUGGACAGACACCCAGACAGCUCUUCGUGACACCCCAUCCUCGAAGGAUCACCCCAAAGUUUAAAAGCUUGUCCCAGCCCUCCAGUUACAAUGCCUCCACGGCAGAUUCUCCAGUCUCUCCAGGCGAAGAGUCUUUUGAAGACCUGACAGAAGAGAGCAGAACCCUGGCUUGGAGUAACAUCGCCCGGCUAGAGCCCCAGGAGCAACACAGAAUCCACAAGGAGGCAGUCACUGGGAUAGCCGUGUCCCGCAGCGGGUCGUCCAUCUUCACAACCUCACAAGAUUCCACCUUGAAGAUGUUUUCCAAAGAAUCCAGGAUGCUACAGAGAAGCAUAUCAUUCUCAAAUAUGGCUUUAUCAUCCUGUUUACUUUUACCAGGAGACGCCACUGUCAUAAGCUCUUCCUGGGAUAAUAACAUCUAUUUUUAUUCCAUAGCAUUUGGAAGACGCCAGGACACAUUAAUGGGACAUGACGAUGCUGUUAGUAAGAUCUGUUGGCAUGACAACAGGCUGUAUUCUGCAUCGUGGGACUCUACUGUGAAGGUGUGGUCCGGGGUCCCCGCAGAGAUGCCGUGUGCCAGGAAACAGCACUUUGAGCUGCUGGCUGAGCUGGAGCACGAUGUCAGCGUGGAUACGAUCAGUUUGAACGCUGCCGGCACACUGCUGGCCUCAGGCACCAAGGAAGGCACAGUGACCAUCUGGGACCUCACCACGGCCACCCUGUUACACCAGAUUCCAUGUCAUGAGGGGACUGUAGGCGACAGUGCUUUCAGCCCAGACAGUCGCCACGUCCUGAGCACAGGAGCCGACAGCCAUCUGAACGUCAUUGACGUACAGACAGGAAUGCUCAUCUCAUCUCUGACUGCGGACGAGCCCCAGAGGUGCUUUCUCUGGGAUGGAAACUCCGUCGUAUCUGGCAGUCAGUCUGGGGAGCUGCUCGUCUGGGACCUCCUCGGGGGAAGGGUCAGCAAGAGGAUCCAGGGCCACGCGGGUGCCGUGACAUGUAUGUGGAUGAACGAACAGUGUAGCAACGUCAUCACAGGAGGGGAAGACAGACAAAUUAUGUUCUGGAAGUUGCAGUAUUAAGUGCCUUUUCCUUGAAUGUUUUUGAACUCUAU
rnacentral:lncRNA from 1 species